CCCGUAAAAAUAUGUGUCGCCGGUACUAUCUUUGGCGCAACAGUGGCGCGUUUUUACUCGCUAGUUGUCUGAGGAGAAUACUCUCAAUUUCAACAGAAAUCAGACCCAUUUAUGUCCUAGCUUAUCAAUAUGGCAUCAGAAAAUGAUGAAACUUAUGAACGUUCAGUCAAACAGUACAUCGAGAUAUGUGAGAGAUGUUUCCGAACUUGUCUCAAACCUCGUGGAACAAUGCGACUUAGCCCUGGAGAGUGCAGACAAUAUAGGAAAUUUCUUGAACAUCAACAGUAGAUAAGGGGGGACUUAAUAAGACAACCAAUGGCUCCCAGCACCAUGACUCCAGGAAUACCAUUGCUGUGCCUCUCCAAAAAGAAUGAGAC